AGAAUCAACGCUGGCGGCGUGCCUAACACAUGCAAGUCGCACGAGAAAGGGUAGCAAUACCUGAGUAAAGUGGCGCACGGGUGAGUAACACGUGACUAAUCUACCCUCGAGUGGGGAAUAACUGAGAGAAAUCUUAGCUAAUACCGCAUAACACUUACGAGUCAAAGCAGCAAUGCGCUUGGGGAGGAGGUCGCGGCCGAUUAGCUAGUUGGCGGGGUAAUGGCCCACCAAGGCGAUGAUCGGUAUCCGGCCUGAGAGGGCGCACGGACACACUGGAACUGAAACACGGUCCAGACUCCUACGGGAGGCAGCAGUGGGGAAUUUUGCGCAAUGGGGGAAACCCUGACGCAGCAACGCCGCGUGGAGGAUGAAAUAUCUUGGUAUGUAAACUCCUUUCGAUGGGGAAGAUUAUGACGGUACCCAUAGAAGAAGCCCGGCUAACUUCGCGCCAGCAGCCGC
rnacentral:rRNA from 1 species